rnacentral:rRNA from 1 species
GGUUAAGCGACUAAGCGUACACGGUGGAUGCCCUGGCAGUCAGAGGCGAUGAAGGACGUGCUAAUCUGCGAUAAGCGUCGGUAAGGUGAUAUGAACCGUUAUAACCGGCGAUUUCCGAAUGGGGAAACCCAGUGUGAUUCGUCACACUAUCAUUAACUGAAUCCAUAGGUUAAUGAGGCGAACCGGGGGAACUGAAACAUCUAAGUACCCCGAGGAAAAGAAAUCAACCGAGAUUCCCCCAGUAGCGGCGAGCGAACGGGGAGGAGCCCAGAGCCUGAAUCAGUGUGUGUGUUAGUGGAAGCGUCUGGAAAGGCGCGCGAUACAGGGUGACAGCCCCGUACACAAAAAUGCACAUACUGUGAGCUCGAUGAGUAGGGCGGGACACGUGGUAUCCUGUCUGAAUAUGGGGGGACCAUCCUCCAAGGCUAAAUACUCCUGACUGACCGAUAGUGAACCAGUACCGUGAGGGAAAGGCGAAAAGAACCCCGGCGAGGGGAGUGAAAAAGAACCUGAAACCGUGUACGUACAAGCAGUGGGAGCCUCUUUAUGGGGUGACUGCGUACCUUUUGUAUAAUGGGUCAGCGACUUAUAUUCUGUAGCAAGGUUAACCGAAUAGGGGAGCCGAAGGGAAACCGAGUCUUAACUGGGCGUUAAGUUGCAGGGUAUAGACCCGAAACCCGGUGAUCUAGCCAUGGGCAGGUUGAAGGUUGGGUAACACUAACUGGAGGACCGAACCGACUAAUGUUGAAAAAUUAGCGGAUGACUUGUGGCUGGGGGUGAAAGGCCAAUCAAACCGGGAGAUAGCUGGUUCUCCCCGAAAGCUAUUUAGGUAGCGCCUCGUGAAUUCAUCUCCGGGGGUAGAGCACUGUUUCGGCAAGGGGGUCAUCCCGACUUACCAACCCGAUGCAAACUGCGAAUACCGGAGAAUGUUAUCACGGGAGACACACGGCGGGUGCUAACGUCCGUCGUGAAGAGGGAAACAACCCAGACCGCCAGCUAAGGUCCCAAAGUCAUGGUUAAGUGGGAAACGAUGUGGGAAGGCCCAGACAGCCAGGAUGUUGGCUUAGAAGCAGCCAUCAUUUAAAGAAAGCGUAAUAGCUCACUGGUCGAGUCGGCCUGCGCGGAAGAUGUAACGGGGCUAAACCAUGCACCGAAGCUGCGGCAGCGACACUAUGUGUUGUUGGGUAGGGGAGCGUUCUGUAAGCCUGCGAAGGUGUACUGUGAGGUAUGCUGGAGGUAUCAGAAGUGCGAAUGCUGACAUAAGUAACGAUAAAGCGGGUGAAAAGCCCGCUCGCCGGAAGACCAAGGGUUCCUGUCCAACGUUAAUCGGGGCAGGGUGAGUCGACCCCUAAGGCGAGGCCGAAAGGCGUAGUCGAUGGGAAACAGGUUAAUAUUCCUGUACUUGGUGUUACUGCGAAGGGGGGACGGAGAAGGCUAUGUUGGCCGGGCGACGGUUGUCCCGGUUUAAGCGUGUAGGCUGGUUUUCCAGGCAAAUCCGGAAAAUCAAGGCUGAGGCGUGAUGACGAGGCACUACGGUGCUGAAGCAACAAAUGCCCUGCUUCCAGGAAAAGCCUCUAAGCAUCAGGUAACAUCAAAUCGUACCCCAAACCGACACAGGUGGUCAGGUAGAGAAUACCAAGGCGCUUGAGAGAACUCGGGUGAAGGAACUAGGCAAAAUGGUGCCGUAACUUCGGGAGAAGGCACGCUGAUAUGUAGGUGAAGUCCCUCGCGGAUGGAGCUGAAAUCAGUCGAAGAUACCAGCUGGCUGCAACUGUUUAUUAAAAACACAGCACUGUGCAAACACGAAAGUGGACGUAUACGGUGUGACGCCUGCCCGGUGCCGGAAGGUUAAUUGAUGGGGUUAGCGGUAACGCGAAGCUCUUGAUCGAAGCCCCGGUAAACGGCGGCCGUAACUAUAACGGUCCUAAGGUAGCGAAAUUCCUUGUCGGGUAAGUUCCGACCUGCACGAAUGGCGUAAUGAUGGCCAGGCUGUCUCCACCCGAGACUCAGUGAAAUUGAACUCGCUGUGAAGAUGCAGUGUACCCGCGGCAAGACGGAAAGACCCCGUGAACCUUUACUAUAGCUUGACACUGAACAUUGAGCCUUGAUGUGUAGGAUAGGUGGGAGGCUUUGAAGUGUGGACGCCAGUCUGCAUGGAGCCGACCUUGAAAUACCACCCUUUAAUGUUUGAUGUUCUAACGUUGGCCCCUGAUCGGGGUUGCGGACAGUGUCUGGUGGGUAGUUUGACUGGGGCGGUCUCCUCCUAAAGAGUAACGGAGGAGCACGAAGGUUGGCUAAUCCUGGUCGGACAUCAGGAGGUUAGUGCAAUGGCAUAAGCCAGCUUGACUGCGAGCGUGACGGCGCGAGCAGGUGCGAAAGCAGGUCAUAGUGAUCCGGUGGUUCUGAAUGGAAGGGCCAUCGCUCAACGGAUAAAAGGUACUCCGGGGAUAACAGGCUGAUACCGCCCAAGAGUUCAUAUCGACGGCGGUGUUUGGCACCUCGAUGUCGGCUCAUCACAUCCUGGGGCUGAAGUAGGUCCCAAGGGUAUGGCUGUUCGCCAUUUAAAGUGGUACGCGAGCUGGGUUUAGAACGUCGUGAGACAGUUCGGUCCCUAUCUGCCGUGGGCGCUGGAGAACUGAGGGGGGCUGCUCCUAGUACGAGAGGACCGGAGUGGACGCAUCACUGGUGUUCGGGUUGUCAUGCCAAUGGCACUGCCCGGUAGCUAAAUGCGGAAGAGAUAAGUGCUGAAAGCAUCUAAGCACGAAACUUGCCCCGAGAUGAGUUCUCCCUGACUCCUUGAGAGUCCUGAAGGAACGUUGAAGACGACGACGUUGAUAGGCCGGGUGUGUAAGCGCAGCGAUGCGUUGAGCUAACCGGUACUAAUGAACCGUGAGGCUUAACCUU